UACGAAGGGGGGCUAGCGUUGUUCGGAAUUACUGGGCGUAAAGCGUGCGCAGGCGGCUUCUCAAGUCAGGGGGUGAAAGCCCAGAGCUCAACUCUGGAAUUGCCUUUGAGACUGAGUGGCUUUGAGUACGAGAGAGGUGAGUGGAAUUCCCAGUGUAGAGGUGAAAUUCGUAGAUAUUUGGGAAGAAACACCGGUGGCGAAGGCGGCUCACUGGCUCGUAACUGACGCUCAUGCACGACAGCGUGGGGGAUCAAACAGG
rnacentral:rRNA from 1 species